rnacentral:rRNA from 1 species
GUGUCAGCAGCCGCGGUAAUACCGGCAGCCCGAGUGAUGCCCGAAAUUAUUGGGCCUAAAGCGUUCGUAGCUGGCCGGACAAGUCCGUUGGGAUAUCUGUCGGCUUAACGGGCAGGCGUCCAGCGGAAACUGUUCAGCUUGGGACCGGAAGACCUGAGGGGUACGUCUGGGGUAGGAGUGAAAUCCUGUAGUCCUGGACGGACCGCCGGUGGCGAAAGCGCCUCAGGAGAACGGAUCCGACAGUGAGGGACGAAAGCUAGGGUCUCGAACCGGAUUAGAAACCCGCGUAGUCC